rnacentral:lncRNA from 1 species
CAUGAGCUAACCAAGGUUCUUAUGCCAUUUUGAGCUUAUUAUGGUAUUGCGGAGCUAAGUGGGCUAAUUAUGUCAUUGUUGGGUUAAUUAAAGCAAGGAUAAUAUGAAAGAGGAGAAGAAAGAGGGGGAUGAGGAGAAGAAGAAGAAAUCAAGAAGAAGGAGGACAAGGAGUAGAAGGAGGAGGAGGAGGAGGAGAAAGACUAGAAGGUCCUUGGCCUU